CCUCUGAUUUCCUUCUCUGCUUCUCCAGGUCCCUCUGCAACGAGACUCAGAGAUCCACAAUACCUGUUCUCACCUGCAGGGUUGUGUUGCUAAGUGUCUCUGCCCCCAGAGUCAUCUCGAGCCAGUUCUGCAAGGCACGGCCCCUCUCGCCACGCCCCUGCACCUUCUCGCCUGUCAUCCCUGCCAGGGCAGCUCCCAGGCACGAGGCCAGCUGCACCCUGCAUCCUUUGAGGCCUUGAGGGGACUGCAUUCAACAUGCACAGGGACAAGAAACUUGCAAGUUCAUGCACCAAGAUGCUGGUAGAGGUGUUCUCCAGGAGAGAUGAGAACCCAAGCUUCCUGGCCAGCUUGGUAGAGAAGUACCAGGCCUGGAGUGAGCUCUCUGCAUGGGGCUGCAGGAUCUAGAUACCCGGCACUCGGCCAGCUGUGCGUGGACACUCUCUCCCACCUGCAGCCUCCUAACCACACCAUGGAAAAGCCUCGAGCUGGAGAGAUCGUGGGUGUGGGCGCACCUCCACCUGUACCUACUGGCACAUGGCUGAAGCUGCGUGCUGAGAAUACCAGGAACAUGCAAAGAGGAGACAG